UAUUAGGUUGGUGCAAAUGUAAUUGUGGAUUUUGUCAUUGAAAAUAAUGGCAAAACCUGCCAUUACAUUUGCACCAACCUAAUA
rnacentral:pre_miRNA from 1 species